rnacentral:rRNA from 1 species
AAUCCUGGCUCAGGACGAACGCUGGCGGCGCGCCUAACACAUGCAAGUCGAACGAGCGAGAGAGAGCUUGCUUUCUCAAGCGAGUGGCGAACGGGUGAGUAACGCGUGAGGAACCUGCCUCAAAGAGGGGGACAACAGUUGGAAACGACUGCUAAUACCGCAUAAGCCCACAGCUCGGCAUCGAGCAGAGGGAAAAGGAGCAAUCCGCUUUGAGAUGGCCUCGCGUCCGAUUAG